rnacentral:misc_RNA from 1 species
GGAGGGAUCAUUACUGAGUGAGGGCGCUCGCCGCCCGACCUCCCACCCUUUUGUGAACCCACCUCGUUGCCUCGGGGGUGAGCCGGCCUCUCGCGCCUGGCGCCCCCGGCGGACCGCAACCAUUCCACUCUGCGUCUUUGCGUCUGAGUCUGAAACGAAAUCAAAUCAAAACUUUCAACAACGGAUCUCUUGGUUCUGGCAUCGAUGAAGAACGCAGCGAAAUGCGAUAAGUAAUGUGAAUUGCAGAAUUCAGUGAAUCAUCGAAUCUUUGAACGCACAUUGCGCCCUUUGGUAUUCCGAGGGGCAUGCCUGUUCGAGCGUCAUUACACCCAUCAAGCCUGGCUUGGUAUUGGGGCACGGGGGCAACCCGGACCCGAAAAUCACCGGCUGGCGGACCCCGAUCGCAGCGUUGUGGCAUCCAAUGUCGCUGACGUGACGGGCGGCCGUGCCGUUAAACCACCCUUUCUCAAGGUUGACCUCGGAUCAGGUAGGGAUACCCGCUGAACUUAAGCAUAUUAAUAAGCGGAGGAAAAGAAACCAACAGGGAUUGCCCUAGUAACGGCGAGUGAAGCGGCAACAGCUCAAAUUUGAAAUCUGGCGCAAGCCCGAGUUGUAAUUUGUAGAGGAUGCUUCUAGGCAGCGGCCGGUCUAAGUUUCUUGGAACAGGACGUCAUAGAGGGUGAGAAUCCCGUAUGCGACCGGCUGGCACCUUUCACGUAGCUCCUUCGACGAGUCGAGUUGUUUGGGAAUGCAGCUCUAAAUGGGAGGUAAAUUUCUUCUAAAGCUAAAUACCGGCCAGAGACCGAUAGCGCACAAGUAGAGUGAUCGAAAGAUGAAAAGCACUUUGGAAAGAGAGUUAAAAAGCACGUGAAAUUGUUGAAAGGGAAGCGCUUGCAACCAGACUUGUCGGCGGUGUUCCGCCGGUCUUCUGACCGGUCUACUCGCCGUCGACAGGCCAGCAUCGUCUCGGGCCGCCGGAUAAAGGCGUGAGGAAUGUGGCUCCUCCGGGAGUGUUAUAGCCUCGCGCACAAUACGGCGCGCCGGGGGCGAGGUCCGCACUUCGGUCAGGAUGCUGGCGUAAUGGUCGUAAGCGGCCCGUCUUGAAACACGGACCAAGGAGUGGACUAUCUAUGCGAGUGUUCGGGUGUCAAACCCCUACGCGUAAUGAAAGUGAACGGAGGCGAGAACUUCGGUGCAUCGUCGACCGAUCCUGAUAUCUUUGGAUGGAUUUGAGUAAGAGCAUAGCUAGUCCGACCCGAAAGAUGGUGAACUAUGCCUGAAUAGGGUGAAGCCAGAGGAAACUCUGGUGGAGGCUCGCAGCGGUUCUGACGUGCAAAUCGAUCGUCAAAUUUGGGUAUAGGGGCGAAAGACUAAUCGAACCAUCUAGUAGCUGGUUCCUGC